AUUGAACGCUGGCGGCAGGCCUAACACAUGCAAGUCGAGCGGAUGAAGGGAGCUUGCUCCUGGAUUCAGCGGCGGACGGGUGAGUAAUGCCUAGGAAUCUGCCUGGUAGUGGGGGAUAACGUCCGGAAACGGGCGCUAAUACCGCAUACGUCCUGAGGGGGAAGGGGGGGGAUUUUGGGACCUAACGCUAUCGAUGAGCCUAGGUCGGAUUAGCUAGUUGGUGGGGUAAAGGCCUACCAAGGCGACGAUCCGUAACUGGUCUGAGAGGAUGAUCAGUCACACUGGAACUGAGACACGGUCCAGACUCCUACGGGAGGCAGCAGUGGGGAAUAUUGGACAAUGGGCGAAAGCCUGAUCCAGCCAUGCCGCGUGUGUGAAGAAGGUCUUCGGAUUGUAAAGCACUUUAAGUUGGGAGGAAGGGCAGUAAGUUAAUACCUUGCUGUUUUGACGUUACCAACAGAAUAAGCACCGGCUAACUUCGUG
rnacentral:rRNA from 1 species